rnacentral:rRNA from 1 species
AACGUAGGAGGCAAGCGUUAUCCGGAAUUACUGGGCGUAAAGGGCGCGUAGGCGGCCUGUUAAGUCGAACGUGAAAUCCCCGGGCUCAACCCGGGAACUGCGUCCGAUACUGGCAGGCUUGAAUCCGGGAGAGGGAUGCGGAAUUCCAGGUGUAGCGGUGAAAUGCGUAGAUAUCUGGAGGAACACCGGUGGCGAAGGCGGCAUCCUGGACCGGUAUUGACGCUGAGGCGCGAAAGCUAGGGGAGCAAACGGG